UAUAUAGAGAACUAGGUAAAACCGGUUCGAAAUUACAACACUAAGGUAUUUUGACCACUAUUUUCAGCUGACCCUUUAAGUCUGAAAAAGAGAACUAAGCAACAAAUUCCAAUGAGUUUUAUUAUUUGUAAAUAUAUUUUUGAUUUAUGAUCAGAGAGCACGCCAUGUACGAAUCUGCGAAGCAUUAACGAAAAUAAAUUGUUGGCUAUCUCCGCCAUUUCAAAAAUUAUAUAUCUAAAGUUGCAAGGAUUGUUCAUAGACAAGAUUGAUUUUUCACAAUCAAAAUUUAAAAUUAAAGGACAAAAAGUAAUAUCAAAGGCCAACUCACUCUUGUCGAAUUUCGAAAUUACCAUUGUUCUGAGCUGUUCAGCCUACCCGACCUGCCAAUGCUCUACCAUGAAUUGUCGAGUAAUUUCAGUGAGUUGGGGCUUAAAUUAUGGUCAAUAAAUAUCAAAAUUAAAUUAUCUUUCAGAUUUUGGGUGUCUCGUUGCCUUUUUAAUGUUGCAAACUGCAUUUAGUUGACGUUGAUUACAUAGCCACCAUUGUUGUCCAUGGUCACAAUGCUCCACUAAAUAUAAUAUUUCUAAAAAACGAAGUCGAGUUGGGGUCUAAAAAAAACACCAACAUAUACGAAAUUGCAUACACUAUAACAUAUCAAAAUACUGAAACGAAACAAACGUUGGAACUUUAACCAAUCUGCUUCCGAAUCUAAAACUUAGAAUUUAUGGUACUGAACAGUUCUGAACAAAAACAUUGAUAUUUGGUAAAUAUGUCAAGAGUGGGCUUGCAAAAUGACUUCAACAAAAUGAAAAUUUUGUUUUCUUUCCUAAUAUGCAUGUUUUAUGGCAGUUGUGGUGUUGUAUUGUAUAUUUUUUUGUCUAGAAUGUACUAGGUUUCUUGCUGCUAAAGGUCACACUGUGACACUUAAUGGCAAAAUACUCAAAAACGAGACUGAGUUGGGGUCUAUUUUGAAUAGUAUACUAAAGAAGAUUAAAUUUUCUAUCUAUUGGUAUCAGUUGUGAAACAAAAUAAACGUUGCAACUUUACGAAAUUUGGUAUUGAAAACUGCCGAUCAUGAUUACACACCCGCAGUUGCCCGCAGUAAAUGCUGCUAACGAGAUAUUUGUCGCUAGCAGACGCAAGUGUUGGCAAUGGAUUGGUCGAACGGCAUUUUAUUUGCUAACAGAGAACACUUGUUUAACUUGUAGAUAAUGCCGUGUAUGCUGUUGUGUAUUUUGCACGUAUUUUGGACAAGAUUUUUCUGAUUUUAGAUUUCAUUUUGACAAAAAUGCUGUAGAUAGGUUGACGGGACUGAUAAUGAAAGGUUACGCCAAUGUUCUGCGCAUACAGUUGCUGCUUUUUGGUGCGCACACACCCCAGGCACUCCAUCUCGUCAACGCCUGAGAAGUUGGUGAAAGUGCCUCAUGCCAGGCUUGCUGGAUGGCUACUACCUGCACUUGCUAGCUGAACGGAAGCUCUUCCAACUAGCUGGCAUGGCUCUCGGCAGCUUGGCUUACGCGUGGGACGCUGCAGGCGCAAUCAUCGCCAGCCUCGCACAUGUCGAAAAUCAGGCAGACUACAUCAGCUGCUCACUGAUAUGGGCCAAAGAAGGUAUGGCGUGGCAGAGGCUUGUCUGCUCACCGUGUGUGCAAUACAGAGAUAUAAGCUCCUAGAUAGUUAAACAAGUUCUGUGCACUGCUUUCUCAGGUAUUUAUUUGCUUGCUAGAUAUGUGAUUUGAGUUUCAUCAUGGACGUUUGCAAUCUUGUGUACCGAUAAAACCAAGUCUUAGCAUAAAAGUUCGCCAUUGUGUGCCUGUGGCCGGCUUUGUCGUUUGUAUUGCAGGUAACUAUGCUUUGUGGUUUCUGAGUUCUGAACACAUUAUCCUCCACCAGGCUCGUUGCUGGCGGUGGUUCUGGAGACAACGGUUCGAUCCAUCAGCUGUAGGACGUCACUCGGCAAGAAGUUGUGGAGUGUGAUGGUCAUCCACGCGGCGCGCGUAUCCAGUCACGUUGUCCAGAAACGAUCACAUUAUCUCCAGGUCACUCCGUGACUUGCCGGCGCUCGAGCUGACGGUGUCGCCCGAACGAAGGCUUCACGGCGACAAGUGCUGCCACCGCCUAAGACCAUCCGACUCCGAAAUGCUGAUUGCCGGGCACGAACAAGACGCUACAGGCAUUUGGGUGCAACACCUGCUCCGAGUGCCCUGUUCUGAGGCGUCAUCCGAAGAAGGCCGCAUAGUGCACUUAAGGCUGUGUUCGGGUGUUAGUGCACUGCACUGUCGGAUAGGAUCAAAUGGCAGGCCCGUCAUAAGAUCUCAGUACGAAAUUAAGAUAGUCAGAGCCGACGUGAUCGGUGGAUAGUGUGCCAGGGUUGAUUGAGCGUCCAUGAGCGUGAGACACCUGGAUCUGUGAAGGAUACGCCGAUACGUGUCCCGGAUUCGACCCCCCUCCCCCUCCGUCUCAACGGUGUUGGCUGAGAUUGGGGUAUUUUUACGGACUCGCCAAUGUCCUGCAAUUUCUGUUAUGUAAUUUGACGAUCAUGCCGUGGUCUCAUUCUGUCUCGAUAUGCUAAUAAAUGAUAAAUGUAACAGAGGUUGGAAGUAAGGUGUGAGUGGCUGUAACCGGCAGGUUUUGGCGAGCGUGAUAUUUGUAUCGUGAGGGCGCUAGCUGCAAUCAAUCGCGCGUUUUUGCUGAGCAUCCGUGAGCGAGAAAAUGCCUUCUCUGGAACCUAGCAGUUCAGCGUGAAAUCUGUGUAUCUUUGGAUUAUGUUAUCAUAACGUAAUGUAUUUUUGGUGUCCACUGCAGCUUCGGAACAGAAAUAUGGAGAUUGGCUGUUUGCUGAAGCAAGGGUAACCAAUCCGUGCCAAGAAUAAAAAACUAUGUGAAUUUAAGUAU